GAUAUUUGUUGUUCAUUGUUGCUGCUACUUUAUUCAUCAUCUUCUGAUUCAUUAUCAUCAUCUUAUACUUCAUUAUCAUCUUCAUAUUCUUCUUGUUGACCAUUGUUGUUGUUGUUGUUACCCCAACUGCUUUUCUUUGACCAAAUUCCUAUGUCAAAUUUUAUUUCGUAAAUCACUUUCAACUUUGGAAUUUACUUGAGAGGAGACUUUGGUAAGUCAGAUUAUGCUUUUUAGUUGAAUCUGGGUAACUGCUAGUGUAUUAUUUUUUCAACAAUAGCUUGCACGUGAACAUGAAUGCAAUACAAAAGCAAUAUGUUUAAACAGAUUCAUUAUCUGCAGCACCAGAUAAAUGUUCUGUUGUAACAGUGGACUCAUGUUGGAUUCAUGUUUAUGGGUUCUAGGUGCCUGUAAUAUGAAUUGAAUAGAUGGAUAUUCUGUUGCACCAGAUUAGUAAUUUGUUUCAACAGAUAAAUAAUCUUUUUUAUCAGAUUACUAAUAUGUUUCGAACAACAAAAUGCAGCUCCUGUUACACACAAACCUAACAGAUAACUCAUAUGUUCUUGCUAUUGAUAUAGGAAUCAAAUUAUACCUUAAUUGUAGACAUGUCAUUCGUUAAGAAAUGAAAUAGACAACACAAAAAUUAAAUAAGAAAUAAAAGUCAAGUGCAUCAAACAUAAUUUUUUAUAAAACAAAGAAAAAAAAUACAUAGAUAAAAGAAAAAAAAGCUUAAUUAUUAUUAUCAUCAUUAUUAUUUGAAUGGCCAUUCGACCAAUCUUCAACGGGCAGCAGCAACGCCCUCCUCAGCCUGCGGAUAUCCCGCAGCAUCCUUACUCUAACGACGUCCAACUCCCAAUGAAGGUCAUGAACCUCCUUCUGCAGUUCUCGCAUGACAUCUCAUAAAAUAGCGAUAUCCUAUACAAGAACAGUCAUAUCUAGAAAACACAUAAGUUGAUAAAACACACGUAAAAACAAAAGUAAAGAAAAGAAAGAAUUCGAAUGUAAUGUAAUAUACAAUGAAUAUUUACACAAAAAUCAAGAAAAAAACUUACUCGAGACAGGAAAAAGUUAUCAAGUCCUUGAAGAGAAAGUAGUUGAAGGUGUAACAAGAGAAAGGAAUAAAUAGUGUGUAGUAGAACGAACGACUGAGUAAGAAGGGACCUAUUUAUAAAGGAUUGAACUUGAGUGAGUUAGGCAAAAAAUCGGAACUGUUUACCUCCAUUUAUUAAUGACAUUCUUGAUUACUGUAAAAAGUUAUGACUUAAUUAAAUUAAUCAAUAUUAUGAUAAGUCAUGACUUUUCAGCUUUAUUAUUAUUAAUAAUUAGUUCUUUCCAGGAAUCGUUUUUUUACACUGAGUUGGACAACAGAUAAUAUAGUUGUUGUAUCAGAUAAAUCAUCUGUUGCAACAGAUAUAUCAUCAUUUCUAACAAAUAGAUAACUUGUUGCAUCAGAUAAUAUAUCUGUUGCAACAUAUAAUAUAUAUAUUUUUUAAAAAAAUAAAUUAUCU
rnacentral:lncRNA from 1 species